UUCCCUGCUGGCAAUGGGCACAGAGACACCUCGUUGGUGGUGUUGUUCUUGGAUCAGUCAGGGGCAGAGCAGAUGGCAGUCCUUGUUCAUCCUAGCUUAAUGCCUGGCUUGAUAGCCAACACUAUCUUAGGCUUAGGACUCCUUA
rfam:Mus musculus chromosome 9, GRC primary reference assembly.